rnacentral:lncRNA from 1 species
UAGAGAUGCAGGAAAUAAAUCAAGCAGUUAAUCUCUCCCAUCUAGUCAACCAAUCUAAAUUCUAGAUAUUUUGGUGUGAGGACCCCUAAAAGGCAAGCUACAGGACCCCAAAUUGAGCAAGAUUAGAUCCUACAGAAUUUUGAGAGAAGCAAGAAAGGAACAUAAUUUACAGAAUUAAAUUUGGAUUCCAGAUGAGGUGGCUACAGUAGGUUGAAGUUGGUAACAAUGUUGGACACAACAAGAAACACCCGAUACAUCCAAAUUCUUCUUAGUGUUUCUUGGCACAAAGAUCUGAUAUGGUAACUAAUUUUGGGUGGAAAAGAGCUAUCUUGGAAAGAAUUAAAUGAAAGAAAAUCAGAGUCCAAACUAAUUUUGCAUGAGAAGCAAACUGAGAAAGAAUUGAAACUAAUUCUUGGAAAACUUGAUUUGGGCAGCCGAAACCUUACCUUGUUUUGCAGAUUUUGUGGACCCAGAAAGAAAGAAAUUCUUCUCCUCUAAUUAACCAUGCCUCCUUUCCUUCUUUUACUAUGGAAAUCAUAAUAAAAUCAGAAAAUUUGGGCAGCAUAAGGAGUAGAUGGCUGGUGGUUGCUUAAAGCCUAUCCAAAGGAGGAGAGAUUCUAUAUCAAAUAAAAANNNN